UGGAAGAUUAAGCUUCGCCAGGAAGCGGCGGAACAGCGUGGACCACCCGUUCCUUUUUUCAUGGGACACUCGGGCAAACCACAGCGACUGUCGCUGAAACUGCAUUCUCUCUCCCGACCCUGAAUUACAGACCCAACACCGUCGGUUGCCAAUCUAGGCGGGUGCUCUGCAACCCGGGCAAAGACGCUUUAAAUUCGAGCUCGGAUCAGAGCGCCGCGGUCCGCCGGGUCCGGACCGGUGCAGGGGUGCACGCCACAAGCGCUGAUCUCCAGAUAUCUGAAAUCCCAGGUGGCCACGGCCCCGGGUCUCCCAGGACACCUCACCACCGGGUGCCACCAGGUUCUCCUCCAGUGAAGCUCAAGAAGUACAAGUUUUACGGAGAAGCAAAGUGCAAGAUUUGAGCGCCGCGGAGGAUGGCCGCGGGCCAGAGGGACGCUGGGGAGACUGUCUCACGAGUCACCAGAGUCUUCAGUCUGGGGGAAUGGACUCCACUGCUCACUCCGGCAGCUUCAUCUCUGGUGGCCUUGGGCCCACUCUCCGUUACCUUAUUCCCUCACUCUCAAACCUCACACUACCCCGCAGGAGCUCUGUCCGAAUGAGGAGGGUAUCCACUAGAUUAGUUCCCCACCGAUCAGCUCCGGCGCACGUAAAUAAAUAAAUAAAUAAAUAAA
ensembl:lincRNA